rnacentral:rRNA from 1 species
AGCAGUCGCCGCGGGAAUACGAAGGGGGCUAGCGUUGUUCGGAAUUACUGGGCGUAAAGGGCGCGUAGGCGGCCAUUCAAGUUAGAUGUGAAAGCCCUGGGCUCAACCUAGGAAUUGCAUUUGAUACUGUUUGGCUUGAGUUCGGGAGAGGUGAGUGGAAUUCCCAGUGUAGAGGUGAAAUUCGUAGAUAUUGGGAAGAACACCAGUGGCGAAGGCGGCUCACUGGACCGACACUGACGCUGAGGCGCGAAAGCGUGGGGAGCAAACAGGAUUAGAUACCCCAGUAGUCCCUGUCUCUUAUAC